ensembl:lncRNA
UGAUGCUACAUAGUAAAACAUAAAUUCAGGGCAUAUAAUACCAGCAAGCAUAGUUUUCCAAAAGAGUAUGUCAGUAAAAACAAAAGAAGAACACAUAAAAACAAUCAUGGCUGAAACCAUAGUGACCAAUCAUAGAGUCACGAUUUUCAUAAAAGCUUUGGAACGCUUACAGCAUGCCACAGAAUGUGACUGUGAAAUUAUUACUUUCAGACAAACACAGCCAAGCAUGUACUAUAGCAGGUAAAAUCCAUAUAGGCUAUGCUGUAAACAAGUGCCGUGAGAAAACAAAAAACAUAAAGAUGCACUGUUGGAUUUUAAGCACACCAAAUCACUUCGUGAUACAAUAAUGCCAAAAUACAUUUCUCAGGCCACAAUGCAAAACAUGAAACAGGUGACAUAACACAAAAUUGGAUGGCGUUUUGGCUCGUGAGUACCACUUUCACAACUGGCUGAAAUUAAAAAGACACAUUUUAAAAUCUCCACAGUGCAUCUUUAAGGCUUGAAGGGAUGGAGUGCCAUGAAGCAUUGCUCCUUCCACAGUCCUCCGUACACAUCCAUGAACUUUUCAUAUCCACCUGAAGUCAGGCUUUGAGCAAAUGGUGACGAGUAAUAGCUUGAGUGAGACAACAUUCCAAAAAAAUACAUUCACAAUAAUAUUUUGUGUUUGGAUCUGCAUCAUUCAAACGUGACCUGUAACAAAGAAAAAACUAAACAACAAAGACAUCCAAGGCAUUAUAGAAGAACACUCUUUGGAAAAUAAAUGCAUGUAGAAAAGAAAGCCAGGUAGCUUAGAUGUAAAAGUAUGUGCCAAGUAAAAAAAAUUUUUUUUUUGUUUUUACAAAAGUAAAAUAAAUGACAUUUUAGCCAAGAUUAUAACUGUUCAACAUUCUUGUUUUUUCCUGUAGGAAUUUGCAUUACCAGAACCUCAGAAAGUUUUAUUUCUUUCAUUCUAUUACUUUGUAACUAUUGGACAAUAUCAAGGCCAUUACGGAAAAUUACAUUUCAUGAAUUCAUCAGCCUUAUUCAUUGUCAGUUUACCUCAUGUGAUGGUGCAUUUUCAAGUUUUUGAAGGUUUCUAUCUUUUACAUUUCAGGAAUAAUUCAUGAAACAUUGUUUUAAAUUCAAACUGUAUCGUUAACAACAACUAUGAAAAGAAAAAAUUGUCUGAAUAUCCAUAUGGGCACUAAAAGAAUUCAAGGAAAACAGCAGAAUAUUUUUUUAAUGAAAAGGUAAAGAGGUGUUUCAUGACAAAUAUUAUCAUGAAUGUGAAACAAAUGGUUGUACAUUUGUGCGUUUAAAAAGACAACAAUAAAAAAACUACACAAUGAAUGCAUUUGUGAACAUAAUUAGACAACAAGUAUAAUUGCAUUAAUGGACCACAGUCCUUUUAAAGGAUGCCUUUAUAUUAAAUGUCCCUAUGUUGGCCUACUGUAUGUUAAAUGCCCCUAUGUUGGCUCAUAUUAAAAUAUCAAAGCCUCUUCUAUGUUCAGCCCUGGGCAGUAAGUGAAACUUAAUUUAAUAGCAUGCCUAAAUAUCUAGUUAAACUGAUUCUAUUCUUCAAAAUAUAUUGUAUGCCAAUUAUAUAACAUUUUAUACAACCAGAUUUGUAAGCAUUUAUCUAACUAUAACUGCUAUUAAUUUGUCAGUGAAUAGUUU